GGAGGACAGGUGCUGCAUGGCUGUCGUCAGCUCGUGUCGUGAGAUGUUGGGUUAAGUCCCGCAACGAGCGCAACCCUUGCCUUUAGUUUGCCAGCAGUUCGGCUGGGCACUCUAAAGGGACUGCCGGUGUUAAACCGGAGGAAGGUGGGGAUGACGCCAAGUCCUCAUGGCCUUUAUGACCAGGGCUACACACGUACUACAAUGGCCGAUACAAAGGGCAGCGACACUGCGAGGUGAAGCCAAUCCCGUAAAAUCGGUCUCAGUCCGGAUUGGAGUCUGCAACUCGACUCCAUGAAGUUGGAAUCGCUAGUAAUCGUGGAUCAGCAUGCCACGGUGAAUACGUUCCCGGGCCUU
rnacentral:rRNA from 1 species